GUGGGGAAUAUUGGACAAUGGGCGAAAGCCUGAUCCAGCCAUGCCGCGUGUGUGAAGAAGGUCUUCGGAUUGUAAAGCACUUUAAGUUGGGAGGAAGGGCAGUAAGUUAAUACCUUGCUGUUUUGACGUUACCGACAGAAUAAGCACCGGCUAACUUCGUGCCAGCAGCCGCGGUAAUACGAAGGGUGCAAGCGUUAAUCGGAAUUACUGGGCGUAAAGCGCGCGUAGGUGGUUCGUUAAGUUGGAUGUGAAAGCCCCGGGCUCAACCUGGGAACUGCAUCCAAAACUGGCGAGCUAGAGUACGGUAGAGGGUGGUGGAAGUUCCUGUGUAGCGGUGAAAUGCGUAGAUAUAGGAAGGAACACCAGUGGCGAAGGCGACCACCUGGACUGAUACUGACACUGAGGUGCGAAAGCGUGGGGAGCAAACAGGAUUAGAAACCCCGGUAGUCC
rnacentral:rRNA from 1 species